rnacentral:lncRNA from 1 species
CUUUUGACCCCAAUUUCACGGUCCACUGAACAUAGAAAAUGAAAGUGCAUGUUUCAGGUUAAAGUUUUUGGUCAAGGUAGUUUUUGAUGAAGUUGAAGUCCAAUCAACUUGAAACUUAGUACACAUGUUCCCUAUGAUAUUAUCUUUCUAAUUUUAAUGCCUAAUUAUAUUUUUUAUCCAAUUUCGCGGUUCAUUGAACAUGGAAAAUGAUAGUGCGAGUGGGGC